CCUCAACCAAUGAAAACGUGUGGUGACCGCCCCGUUCCUACGGCGUCCAGGAUAAUUAAAUAUAAAACCUGUGUCUCAUUCCCCUUUUUCCUCCUCGUUUAUAGCAUCUGUUGAAUGUUCAGCUAGUCUUCCCGAGUUGAACCGACACCGAAGCUGUGCAGCUCUUCUAGCCAAGCGGUUUCCAUUUACCUCAGUCAUGGCUAGUUACCAUAAACCCGACGAGAAGACCCUGCAGGGGCUGAGAGACAUCGCUAACAAGCUGCGGAUCAACUCCGUCAAGGCAACAUGCGCCUCCAACUCCGGUCACCCCACCACAUGUUGCAGUGCAGCAGAGCUCAUGUCCGUGCUGUUCUUCCACACGAUGCGGUACAAAGCUGCUGACCCACGUAACCAGUGUAAUGACCGCUUCGUGCUGUCUAAGGGUCACGCUGCACCAAUCCUGUACGCUGCCUGGGCGGAGGCGGGCUUUGUGAAGGAGGCUGACCUGGUCAACCUGAGGAAGCUGGACUCUGACCUGGAGGGUCACCCCACACCUAAACUGGAGUUUGUUGACGUGGCAACGGGUUCUCUGGGACAGGGGCUGGGGGCUGCCUGCGGGAUGGCUUACACCGGGAAACACUUCGACAAGUCCAGUUACCGUGUGUACUGCAUGCUGGGUGACGGGGAGUGUUCGGAGGGGGCUGUCUGGGAAGCCAUGGCGUUUGGUUCCCACUACAACCUGGAUAACCUGGUGGCUAUUAUCGACGCGAACCGCCUGGGACAGAGUGAAGCUGCUCCUCUCAAACACGACAUGGACGUAUACCGCAAACGCUGCGAAGCAUUUGGGUGGAACACGUAUGUGGUGGAUGGUCAUGAUGUUGAGGAGCUGUGUAAAGCGUUGUGGCAGGCCCAGCAGGUGAAGGGAAAACCCACCAUGAUCCUGGCCAAGACCUUCAAGGGUAGAGGACUCAAAGGCAUUGAGGACAUGGAGUACUGGCAUGGUAAACCCAUGCCUAAGGACCGGGCCGAGGAGGCGAUUAAAGACUUGGAGGCUCUGAUUCAGAACCCCAACAAGACCAUCUGCCCCGAGCUUCCUAAAGAAGAUACCGCCCCCGCUGACCUUUCACCUAUCAGCCUGCCCUCCCCGCCUAACUACAAGAUUGGGGAUAAGGUGGCUACUCGUAAGGCGUAUGGCGUGGCCCUGGCUAAACUGGGUCAGUCCAGUCAGAGGGUGGUCGCUCUGGACGCUGACAUGAAGAACUCGACCUUCUCUGACAUGUUUCACAAGGCCUUCCCUGAACGCUUCCGUGGAGUGCUUCAUCGCUGAACAAAACAUGGUGAGCGUGGCGAUUGGCUGUGCCACGAGAGACCGCACAGUGGCGUUUGCCAGCACCUUCGCUGCCUUCCUGUCCAGGGCCUACGACCACAUCAGAAUGGCCGCUGUCUCGGAGUCUAACAUCAACUUGGCUGGUUCUCACUGCGGCGUCUCCAUCGGUGAGGAUGGCCCCUCCCAGAUGGCGUUGGAGGACAUUGCUAUGUUCCGCUAUCCCAACAUGCACUGUGUUCUACCCCAGCGACGGCGUCUCUGCUGAGAGGUCUGUGGAGUUGGCUGCUAACACCAAGGGAAUCUGUUUCAUUCGCAUCACCAGACCAGAACUGAAAGUGAUCUACGACCCCGACGAGAAGUUCGAGGUGGGCGUGGCCAAGGUGGUACGUCAGUCGUACAGCGACAAGGUGACGGUGAUUGGAGCUGGAGUGACACUGCAUGAAGCCCUGGCUGCUGCUGACCAGCUGGCCAGCGAGGGAGUGAACAUCCGUGUGAUUGACCCGUUCACCAUCAAGCCCCUGGAUGCUGCCACCAUCGUGUCGAGCGCCCGCAUCACCGGAGGGAGAAUCAUCACCGUCGAGGACCACUACAGAGAGGGGGGUCUCGGGGAGGCGGUGCUGUCUGCAGUAGGGGAGGAGCCUGGUAUCGUAGUGACCCGCCUGGCGGUGAACCGGAUCCCACGGAGUGGAAAACCUCAGGAGUUACUGGACCUGUACGGCAUCAGCGCCAAACACAUCGUCGACUCCGUGCGCCAGACCUUCGCCAACUGAGACGGUGGUCGUCUCAUCGUUUGUCUCCCAAAAUGGCACCCUAUAUUCCCUACGUAGUGCACUACUUUUGACCAGGUUUCCUAUUUGGGCUAGUGCACUAGAUUGGGAAUAGGGUGCCAUUUGGGGGACGUCUCUUUCCCUUAAGUCUGUACACAUUUACCAACUUCAUGUUCUCUGUCUCUCUGUCUCUCUCUGUCUCUCUCUGUCUCUCUCUGUCUCUCUCUGUCUCUCUCUGUCUCUCUCUGUCUCUCUCUGUCUCUCUCUGUCUCUGUCUGUCUCUGUCUCUCUCUGUCUCUCUCUGUCUCUGUCUCUCUGUGUCUCAAACCCCCUACUUCCCUCCCAUCUACCACUAGUGUUAAACAGAACAGGGCUGUCUAGCGCCCCUUGUGGCUGGAAGGCAGAGUGCAGCUCUGUCCUGCUGUACUGUAUAGUGUUGCAGCAGCAGAGCCAAUAGGCCAGCUCUCAGCGGGGAGGGAUAAGUGGAUGGUAAUAUGCAGUAAUGUUUCUAGAUAAACUCUUUACCCACCUUAAUGCAUCCUCCUUCUAAUCAACCGUCUAAUUUAGUUUUCUGCUAAACUGUAAUGGAGCAAUAAGGCCUGAAGGGUUUAUGAUAUAUGGCCGAUAUACCACGGAUAAGGGCGGUUCUUAGGCACGACAUAUUGCAGAGUGUACAGCCUGGAUACAGCCCUUAGCUGUGGUAUAUUGGUCAUAUAUCAUAACCCCUGAGGUCUUACUGCUGUUUAUUAAUAUAACAGUAAAAUGACAUGUUUGAUCAUAGCUGUGGUAUAUUGGUCUGGUUCCACGGCUUUCAGGGCUCGACCACCUGCUUUCUAGUCCCCCUUGAUGUUAGUGAUGUAGCUGACUGACGGUUACUGUAGGGGUCAGUCCCAUAUGGCGUACCGUUCACGAUCUAGGGAAGUGGAUCUGGGGCCCAUCUUGGGUAUAGGAGGAGGUUUGUUUUGAGCUUGUGGUGUUCUCUGCUCGUCCAGACGAUGCUGAACUCUCUGUUUCAAAUGAAACUAAAUGUGUUUCUGUUCACAUCUUUCUGUUUCUCGGUUGGUCUCUUUUACAUUCCAGCUGCUAACAGUCAUCUUCAUCUCGUUCCAUGUGUUCUAAUGGUUCUGCAUUCCAUGUGUUCUAAUGGUUCUGCAUUCCACGUGUUCUAAUGGUUCUGCGUUCCACGUGUUCUAAUGGUUCUGCGUUCCACGUGUUCUAAUGGUUCUGCGUUCCAUGUGUUCUAAUGGUUCUGCAUUCCAUGUGUUCUAAUGGUUCUGCGUUCCACGUGUUCUAAUGGUUCUGCGUUCCACGUGUUCUAAUGGUUCUGCAUUCCACGUGUUCUAAUGGUUCUGCGUUCCACGUGUUCUAAUGGUUCUGCAUUCCACGUGUUCUAAUGGUUCUGCGUUCCAUGUGUUCUAAUGGUUCUGCGUUCCACGUGUUCUAAUGGUUCCGCCUGCUUGAUAAUGAACCUCUCCGUAGCGCUGUUAGACACCAUGCCAGCUCCACCAGGAACUGAAUGGUUCAUAGCCUUAAUUAGCAGUGAAACUGAUGCAGGAAAUGUACAUUCAAUGGACCUGAGUUCUAUGUAAUGACUUGUUGUAAACUUUAAACUGCUAUAUGACCUACUGUGUUCUUCUAGGCUGGUUGUGGUGAUGACCUGGCUCGUGUUGCUUUCUGGGUAUUAUCUGACCUCUCGUAUCUCUGCACAGUCAUGUCUGAUGCUGCCAGUCAAUGGUUGGUUGGUUUGCGUUGCCAUGGUAAUGCUAAAAUAAUAAACUACAACUUGACCCAA